rnacentral:rRNA from 1 species
GGGCCCGCACAAGCAGCGGAGCGUGUUGCUUAAUUCGAUGUUACGCGAAGAACCUUACCUGGGUUUGACAUGCAGGGAAAAGCUCUAGAGAUAGGGUGUCCUAACGGGCCCUGCACAGGUGGUGCAUGGCUGUCGUCAGCUCGUGUCGUGAGAUGUUGGGUUAAGUCCCGCAACGAGCGCAACCCUUAUCCUAUGUUGCCAGCGGAUCAUGCCGGGGACUCGUAGGAGACUACCGGGGUCAACUCGGAGGAAGGUGGGGACGAAGUCAAGUCAUCAUGCCCCUUAUGCCCAGGGCUGCAAACACGCUACAAUGGCCGGUACAGAGGGCUGCGAUCCCGUGAGGGUGAGCGAAUCCCACAAAGCCGGUCUCAGUUCGGAUUGGAGUCUGCAACUCGACUCCAUGAAGCCGGAGUUGCUAGUAAUCCCGGAUCAGCACGCCGGGGUGAAUACGUUCCCGGGCCUU